AUACUACUCCCUCCGUUCGGAAUUACUUGUCUCGGAAAUGGAUGUAUCUAAAACUAAAAUACGUCUAGAUACAUCCAUUUUUGCGACAAGUAAUUCCGAACGGCGGGAGUAGUUA
rfam:Triticum aestivum genome assembly, contig: Triticum_aestivum_CS42_TGACv1_scaffold_291718_4AL